AAUGAACGCUGGCGGCAGGCCUAAAACAUGCAAGUCGAGCGCCCUAGCAAUAGGGAGCGGCGCACGGGUGAGUAACACGUGGGAAUAUGCCUUUUGGUACGGAACAACCUCGGGAAACUGAGGCUAAUACCGUAUGGUCCCUUCGGGGUAAAGAUUUAUCGCCAAAAGAGUAGCCCGCGUUGGAUUAGCUAGUUGGUAAGGUAACGGCUUACCAAGGCGACGAUCCAUAGCUGGUCUGAGAGGACGAUCAGCCACACUGGGACUGAGACACGGCCCAGACUCCUACGGGAGGCAGCAGUGGGGAAUAUUGCGCAAUGGACGAAAGUCUGACGCAGCGACGCCGCGUGUGGGAUGACGGUCUUCGGAUUGUAAACCACUGUCGGGAGGGACGAAUACGCCGCAAGGCGGGUGACGGUACCUCCAAAGGAAGCACCGGCUAACUCCGUGCCAGCCGCCGCAGUAAU
rnacentral:rRNA from 1 species